rnacentral:rRNA from 1 species
UACAGAGGGGGCGAGCGUUGUUCGGAAUUACUGGGCGGAAAGGGCGCGUAGGCGGCCAACUAAGUCAGACGUGAAAUCCCUCGGCUCAACCGGGGAACUGCGUCUGAUACUGGAUGGCUUGAAUUCGGGAGAGGGAUGCGGAAUUCCAGGUGUAGCGGUGAAAUGCGUAGAUAUCUGGAGGAACACCGGUGGCGAAGGCGGUGCUCUGGGCCAGUACUGACGCUGAGGAGCGAAAGCGUGGGGAGCAAACAGG